CUCAGCAGGAGCAGCCACUUGGGGGAAGCAGAGGGAAUAGAAAGGCACACAUUGCCAGCUCUGAGCAUGACUGGGUGGGGACAUUGUGUUGAAGCUCCUGGGAGCCUCAUUCAGCCCAAGUAGAUGUCCUUGACAUGUCAACACUCUCCCUACACAGGAGAAAAACAUGAGACUCGGAGUGGGCAGGGUGAUCUUGAAUCGGGGGUCUGGUCAGAUGGGUCUCUGUUCCUCGCCUCAGCUAUGGCCUUCAUGUGUGCUUCCACCAGCAGAGACCCCUUCCUGGACUUUGCCCCAGUGGAUGGACAGGAAACUGCCAGCCAUGCUGGCCACCACAACCAACUUUCACUGCCUGGCUCCUAGCAACCCCACUCUCUCCAUCUCCUGGCUGAAGAACCACAAGAGGUCUAAGGAGAGCAUCACAUCAGGAUAUUGAGCUAUGGCACCAGAAGUAGACCCUGAUCAUGGAGUGUGGUGCCCUCAGACUGCUUUCAUCCCACCUCUGUGAUGAAGAACAAGUGCAGCAGCCUUCAGCAGACAUGCAUGCUGGACAGCUGGGACUGCUGACCAACCAGAUGCAGUAAGGUGAAAUUCCACUGCAAAGUGUAUGGCAACUUAGUAUGUGGAGGUGAACAACAGCAAGGUGGGUGUCAAUGGCAUGCCCUAUGUGACUGUGCUUAGGUUAGCUGCUGCUGCUUGUCAGGA